AAUUACCCACUCCCAGCACGGGGAGGUAGUGACGAAAAAUAACGAUACGGGACUCAUCCGAGGCCCCGUAAUCGGAAUGAGUACAAUUUAAAACUUUUCCCGAGGAUCAAUUGGAGGGUAAGUCUGGUGCCAGCAGCCGCGGUAAUUCCAGCUCCAAUAGCGUAUAUUAAAGUUGUUGCGGUUAAAAAGCUCGUAGUCGAAUCUGUGUCCCGCGCCGCUGGUUCAUCGCUCGCGGUGUUCAACUGGCGUGUUUCGCGGGACGUCCUGCCGGUGGGCGCUCGUGCUGUUUCGGCGGUGCGUGGCCCAACUCGUAGCCGUCUCGCGCGGUUGCGAAUCCCAUCGCGGUGCUCUUUAUUGAGUGUCGAGGUGGGCCGGCACGUUUACUUUGAACAAAUUAGAGUGCUUAAAGCAGGCCAAUUUUGCCUGAAUAUUGUGUGCAUGGAAUAAUGGAAUAGGACCUCGGUUCUAUUUUGUUGGUUUUCGGAACCCCGAGGUAAUGAUUAAUAGGAACGGAUGGGGGCAUUCGUAUUGCGACGUUAGAGGUGAAAUUCUUGGAUCGUCGCAAGACGGACAGAAGCGAAAGCAUUUGCCAAAAACGCUUUCAUUGAUCAAGAACGAAAGUUAGAGGUUCGAAGGCGAUCAGAUACCGCCCUAGUUCUAACCAUAAACGAUGCCAGCUAGCGAUCCGCCGACGUUCCUCCGAUGACUCGGCGGGCAGCUUCCGGGAAACCAAAGCUUUUGGGUUCCGGGGGAAGUAUGGUUGCAAAGCUGAAACUUAAAGGAAUUGACGGAAGGGCACCACCAGGAGUGGAGCCUGCGGCUUAAUUUGACUCAACACGGGACACCUCACCAGGCCCGGACACCGGAAGGAUUGACAGAUUGAUAGCUCUUUCUUGAUUCGGUGGGUGGUGGUGCAUGGCCGUU
rnacentral:rRNA from 1 species